rnacentral:rRNA from 1 species
AGGGUUCGAUUCUGGCUCAGGAUGAACGCUAGCUACAGGCUUAACACAUGCAAGUCGCGGGGCAGCAUGACGAUUGCUUGCAAUUGUUGAUGGCGACCGGCGCACGGGUGAGUAACGCGUAUCCAACCUUCCCCAUAGUAGGGUAUAGCCCGGCGAAAGUCGGAUUAAUCCCCUAUGUUGUUUGAAGCGGACAUCUAAUUCAAACCAAAGAUUCAUCGCUAUGGGAUGGGGAUGCGUCUGAUUAGGUUGCAGGCGGGGUAACGGCCCACCUGGCCGACGAUCAGUAGGGGUUCUGAGAGGAAGGUCCCCCACACUGGUACUGAGACACGGACCAGACUCCUACGGGAGGCAGCAGUGAGGAAUAUUGGUCAAUGGGCGCGAGCCUGAACCAGCCAAGUAGCGUGCAGGAUGACGGCCCUACGGGUUGUAAACUGCUUUUAUGCGGGGAUAAAGUGCGGCACGUGUGCCGUUUUGCAGGUACCGCAUGAAUAAGGACCGGCUAAUUCCGUGCCAGCCGCGGC